AGUGUAGCUCAGUGGUAAAGCACUUGUCUGGCAUGUGAGAAGACCUGGGUUUGAUUCUCAGCACU
rnacentral:tRNA from 1 species